rnacentral:rRNA from 1 species
AUGCUUAUCCUUCCCUACGUUGUUCAAACGAUCCUGAGGGAGAACAAGACCGUCUCGAAAGCUUUACGGGAUGACAACUGGAUCCGCAGCCUCGGUAAUGGGAGGUGGGAGGAUAUAGCUCAAGAAGUGGCUUGGGCCGCUGGCAAGAUCAAGAUCUUCUCGUGGCUGCUGCAUUGGAACAGAGUGUGGUGCAACGGUAGAUUGCAACGUCGAGGAUGGCCUAACUCUUACUUCUGUCACCUCUGCUUGAGAAACCUGGAGUCCUCUACCCACCUCUUCUGGAACUGCACCUUCUCGCGCGCAAUCUGGAACGAGGUGGCAACGUGGAAAGGUUGUGCAUCGCUCUCAGCUCCACAAGAGAACCGUGUUUGCACGCCUUCGGUGGUCAAGGCUAUGCUUGCAGCGACAGGCAGAGAAGAAAGAAGGGGCGCAAAAACCAUGAUCAUAAAAGAAAGCAAUCUCACAUGA